GGGCCUGCCCAGUGAUAUUUCAACGGCCGCGGUACUCUGACCGUGCAAAGGUAGCAUAAUCAUUUGCCCUAUAAUUAAGGGCUAGUAUGAACGGUCUAACAAGAAUGGAACUGUCUCUUUUAAAAUCUUUAGAAUUUGGUUUUUAGGUGAAGAAACCUAAAUUAUAUUGAUAGACAAGAAGACCCUAUCGAGCUUUAAAACAAUUAGCUAAACAAAUAAACAAUACUAACUUUAGCUAAAAAUUUUGGUUGGGGCGACUAAGGAACAAAUAAAGCUUCCUUAAUAAAUUCAACACUAAUUAGUAAUGAUCCAAAAUAUUUGAUUAAUAAAAUUAGUUACCGUAGGGAUAACAGCAUAAUCUUCUUUAAGAGUUCUUAUCGAAAAGAAUGUUUGUGACCUCGAUGUUGGACUAGGAUAUCCAAAAGAUGCAGAAGUCUCUAAAGGUUGGUCUGUUCGACCAAUAAAAUCCUACGUGAUCUAUCU
rnacentral:rRNA from 1 species